UACAGAGGUCCCGAGCGUUGUUCGGAUUCACUGGGCGUAAAGGGUGCGUAGGUGGUGGGUAAGUCUGAUGUGAAAUCUCCGGGCUCAACCCGGAAAUGGCAUUGGUGACUGCAGGGCUAGAGUGUGUCAGAGGGAGGUGGAAUUCCGCGUGUAGCAGUGAAAUGCGUAGAGAUGCGGAGGAACACCGAUGGCGAAGGCAGCCUCCUGGGAUAACACUGACGCUCAGGCACGAAAGCGUGGGGGAGCAAACAGG
rnacentral:rRNA from 1 species